CCUACGGGUGGCAGCAGUGAGGAAUAUUGGUCAAUGGACGAGAGUCUGAACCAGCCAAGUAGCGUGAAGGAUGACGGCCCUAGGGGUGGUAAGCUUCUUUUAUAGGGGAAUAAAACAGGGUAUGAAUACCCUCUUGUAUGUACCAUAUCAGUAAGAGUAGGCUAACUCAGUGCCAGCAGCCGCGGUAAUACGGAGGAUCCGAGCGUUAUCCGGAUUUAUUGGGUUUAAAGGGAGCGUAGGUGGUUUGUUAAGUCAGUUGUGAAAGUUUGCGGCUCAACCGUAAAAUUGCAGUUGAUACUGGCAGUCUUGAGUACCGUAGAGGUGGGCGGAAUUCGUGGUGUAGCGGUGAAAUGCUUAGAUAUCACGAAGAACUCCGAUUGCGAAGGCAGCUCACUGGACUGCAACUGACACUGAUGCUCGAAAGUGUGGGUAUCAAACAGGAUUAGAUACCCGGGUAGUC
rnacentral:rRNA from 1 species